GGAACUACUCGGCCUUUCUGGUUGCACGAAGUGAAUAGCCGAGUAGUUCCGACUGACUAUGUUACAUAAGCCAAAUCACACAUACAGAUCUUAGCGCUCAAAUGUAAUUCUUGGUGAAGUAUACAGGUCUGCAUAUCAGUAUAGUCCAAGUGAAUUAGUAAUAGUUCUGAGUUGUUUUUUUCUUCUUCAUAGAAUUAGAAGGACUUCUGAAUCCAACCAUGUAGUAUGGAAUGUUCUUGAGAUAUGGUUUUGGUCGAUGGAUGAUCACGAAGGACCUGUAGUACAAAGUAUAUCACUGGAUUUAGCUCUUUAUCUAAGUGUAUUAUUAAAUUACUUUGCUUUGAGCUCAGUUCAUUGUUAUGCAAUUCUUUCUUUGUAAAAUAAAGAUUUGACAGACAACUCUCAUGUACAAGGAUUUGUCAAAGUAGUAUCACCUCUUAUGUACAAUGUAAGU